rnacentral:rRNA from 1 species
CUACGUAUGGUGCAAGCGUUAUCCGGAUUUACUGGGUGUAAAGGGUGCGUAGGCGGAGAUGCAAGUCAGGAGUGAAAUCUAGGGGCUCAACCCCUAAACUGCUUUUGAAACUGUAUCCCUUGAGUAUCGGAGAGGCAGGCGGAAUUCCUUAGGUAGCGGGGAAAUGCGUAGAUAUUAGGAGGAACACCAGUGGCGAAGGCGGCCUGCUGGACGACAACUGACGCUGAGGCGCGAAAGCGUGGGGAGCAAACAGGAUUAGAUACCCUGGUAGUCCACGCUGUAAACGAUGAAUACUAGGUGUGGGGGGACUGACCCCCUCCGUGCCGCAGUUAACACAAUAAGUAUUCCACCUGGGGAGUACGAUCGCAAGAUUGAAACUUAAAGGAAUUGGCGGGG